UGCAAAUCGGUGGUUUGGAUCAUGGGGCUCUUGGCUGAAAGACUUGCUACUUGUUUUGGGAAUCAUCACCUUACCUGUGUUUCUCUUGCAGGUGCCCAUACUGUUGCUGUGGUAUCUUCCAUUACAACCAGAAUACUGCCAAAGGAGCCACCUCCAUGCUAAUGAAACCCCUUCCUGGCUGCUCAGGGCACAUUGCAGGAAACCUGGGGCCUGUAUGAUUAUAGGAGCCAGUCACACGAGGCGUGAAGUGUUGGAGGAGGUCAUUCAAUGAGGGCAGGAUUGGAGGUUACCCAUAAGCUGGGCUCCUGGCCUCCUCUGUGUCCUUGGAAUGUACCUUCUACAUACUGAUGGGACCCCCAGAGCCAUUUUCAAGGGUAUGGCUGUGACAGACAAAUAUGUGGCUGUGAUCAUCUGGACUAUAAUGUGACUUCACCCAGGUAGGGCCUCUCUAUAUAAACUUUCAGUUUCUGGCAGGUGGGUACAGAGGCCCACUCAUUUUUCCACCACCCAAGACAGGCCUCAUAUGUAAGUUCCCUUGCUUAUUAAACCUGCCACCUGGCUACCUGGAGAGGCCGCCUCCUUCUUCCAUAUGUCCUUGCCCUCCAUGUGCGGGGGGCCCAGUUUCACAUUUCACCCAGGAAACUUUGCAAAACAACGCAUGCCUUAUCUUUCAGUUGUCCUUUUAGCCUCAGAAAUAUAAAUAUUCAGUAUUAUUGGAACAAGAAAUGCCCUCAAUCAGCUUGUGACUUUGCCCAGAAGCCCUGCAAAGAGGACAGCCUGCUUACUUCUGUCCCCAAUUACAUACACUUCAAGCCUUUAUACUGGACUGUGACCAGAAAUAGUACUAUAAUUUUUCACGAGUGCAAACUCCAUAAGGCCAGGGAUGGUUUUUCUUUUGUUCACUUAUUUGCUCCACUCAGUUUUCUAUAUUAAAACUUUCCCACAAAUAUCAUGAUGUUUACAUGGAAAAAUUGUAAAAAAAAAAAAUUCUUGCAAAGCUCUGGCAAUUUAAAAGGGAUUUACUCUCUGCAGUAGAAAAAUAUUCCAUUUGGAAAAUAUGCAAACAGAGGACAUCCAGAAAAGUACAAGGUGAGGCACAAAGAAAGAAAAACCCAAGCCAAAGCAGGAAAGGUUAUUACAAGCAGCAUGGAAGGCUGAGAAGAACAAGAGUUGAAGAUGGAGAAUGGCUGAACUCAACGUUCCUUUCACUUUAAGAGAAAUUCAAAAAGAACAUUAAAAAAAUUAGCUUUCACAUUUAUCCAAAUAGACAAUGUAUGUUAUAGUCUACAAAUAGGUGUUUGAAAACCAUCAUUCUCAUCUUCAAUAGUAUUUACUGAGUGACAAAAGUACCCUGAGAGAUCAACAGUUAAAAUGACAGUCAAGCCAUUUGAUACAGAGGUGAAAAGAAGCAAGAACCACAUGUUGCAAAACUGAAAUACCAAAUGAAGUUGUGACGUGUGAGUAACAGGGUCACAGAUGUUCAGAUGCCAUUUGUUGAGACUGGGCUCCAAAGGCCAGACUCAACAAACCAUGGAAAUUUUAAAUUUGGGAGCAUUGAUAUUAUUAAAAUAUUAUGAUUUAAGUGGACUUUAAACUUUAUAAUAGUAGUUCUUAUUUGUCCUACUUUUACUUAAGAUCAUGCUCUUGAUUUUUUUUUUUUCCUUUUUU
ensembl:lncRNA